AUUUAGUUUAAAAUUUAUUUCAACGUUGAAUUAUUCAUAUACAAAAAGUUUAUUCAAACGAAAGUCAAAUGAUUUUUAAUCAAUAAUACAGUGGCCCAAAAAAAGAAAACAAACUGUAGAGACGUAUUUCUAGAUGAAUUGGCUGGUCAUUUCAUCCAAAAUUCGACCAUUUAUUCAAAUAAUUUACUUGCUUAUUAUAAAGAUUAUCUCACAAACAAUAAAGAGGUGGCUACAGCAAACAAAAUGUAACUUAUUUAUAAAUGGUCUCCUCCUCUGAAAGGAUAUGUACAAUUAUCAGGAAGAUAAGGAUUUCGGUACCAAAAAUUGCACCUUUACACCCAAGGUUGCACAAUAGUAUAAAUCCUCUUGAAAUGAAUAGAAUUUCAAAGAAUUAUUGACUUCAACUAAGUAAAGCAAUAAGCACCACAAAAGUGAAUGAAGCUCUAUCAUACUUGUCACUGGGGAAAUCUAAGUUUUCAGGUAUUUUUUUUUUUAUAGAUUUUAACUGGCCCAACUUACAUGCUCAGAG